rnacentral:rRNA from 1 species
AUUGAACGCUGGCGGCAGGCCUAACACAUGCAAGUCGAACGAGUGGCGGACGGGUGAGUAAUGUAUGGGCAACUGCCUGAUGGAGGGGGAUAACUACUGGAAAAGGUAGCUAAUACCGCAUACGGUCGGUUGUGCCCAGAUGGGAUUAGCUAGUCGGUGGGGUAAAGGCUCACCUAGGCGACGAUCCCUAGCUGGUCUGAGAGGAUGACCAGCCACACGGGAACUGAGACACGGUCCAGACUCCUACGGGAGGCAGCAGUGGGGAAUAUUGCGCAAUGGGCGCAAGCCUGAUGCAGCCAUGCCGCGUGUAUGAAGAAGGCCUUCGGGUUGUAAAGUACUUUCAGCGGGGAGGCGUUACCCGCAGAAGAAGCACCGGCUAACUCCGUGCCAGCAGCCGCGGUAAUUC